rnacentral:miRNA from 14 species
AUAUAUAUAUAUGUGUGUGUGUGUGUGUGUCUCUGUGUGUGUAUAUAUAUACACACACAUAUAUAUAUAUAUAUAUCAGAAAAUGCAUA